UUUAUUUCAUAUAUACUUAUAAAUAUAUAUAUAUAAAAAGGGAAACAAACAAACAAGUCCUUGACUCCUUCUCUCUCCCUCCACCUUUCUUACUAUUCCGACCAGCCAGCCAUCACCGCCGGCAGCCACCAACGGAGCAGCGGCACAGCACCACCAGUACACCACCGAACCCCCACCACACUGCAACAACAUCUAGUCAUCUUAAAUCAAUAGGUUAACGUCACACAUUUGGAAAUUUACUCGCAUUUAUACUUACCACGUUCACAAAUCUCUAAGUUAUGGACAUAAACGUGGAUAUAUUGGGUAGCGCUAUUUGGGAUUGACACUCCCCAUCCGGGUUGGUAGCUCCAACUUGACCUGUACGGGCGAAUGGAUGCAUAUAUAUUUGGAAAACUUGAGUACUCUGAACAAGUACUUACUUGAGGCACACCACUGUCAAGUUUCGUUUCGUGAGCUUAGUUCAAUGAAAUUAGACGAAUUGCUAUGACUUGGAAUGCCUACUGUUGCAUGCGCUAAGGACAGCUUAAACCGUCUCUCAGACCUUAGGAAAUUGACUUAUCAAUUUGCUAAAGUCUUUAUCUUAUUAUUUUGUUUAAUAAUCUAAUGUUGUAAGAACAAAUUUCUAUUUCAAGUAUUCUAUUAUUAUGUUUAUCAAAACGAUGAUAUUUCUAAAUGUAUUUCAAAAACGACACGUUUAGUGGUCGUUCAUUAUA